rnacentral:rRNA from 1 species
CCUACGGGAGGCAGCAGUAGGGAAUCUUCCACAAUGGGCGAAAGCCUGAUGGAGCAACGCCGCGUGGGUGAAGAAGGUCUUCGGAUCGUAAAACCCUGUUGUUAGAGAAGAAAGGGCGAGAGAGUAACUGUUCACGUUUCGACGGUAUCUAACCAGAAAGCCACGGCUAACUACGUGCCAGCAGCCGCGGUAAUACUUAGGUGGCAAGCGUUAUCCGGAUUUAUUGGGCGGAAAGGGAACGCAGGCGGUCUUUUAAGUCUGAUGUGAAAGCCUUCGGCUUAACCGGAGUAGUGCAUUGGAAACGGGGAGACUGGAGUGCAGAAGAGGAGAGUGGAACUCCAUGUGGAGCGGUGAAAUGCGUAGAUAUAUGGAAGAACACCAGUGGCGAAAGCGGCUCUCUGGUCUGUAACUGACGCUGAGGUUCGAAAGCGUGGGUAGCAAACAGGAUUAGAUACCCCUGUAGUC